AAUGGCAGGGCUCCACCCAAGAGGAAGAAAACAAAGACAAUGCCACAAAGCUAGAGGAAGAACCCGGCCAGGGCACCUCUCUAGGUCAGGCAGACUUGGCACUUGAUUUGCUGGCUUACUAUUCCCUGGGCAUUGGCUCUAAAAGGCACAGAGGGCACUGCUCACUCUGGGCCUGGUGGCCCUGAAGACACCAGACUAUAUCUGAAACACACAAGGAUCCCCUUUCCUCUCAGACUUCAACCCACCUGCACUGCUAUGUGCGUUCCGUUGGCUGUGGCCAACAGCGCCACCUGUUGAUGAUGAAGGGAUGCUACACUUGAGUUCUCGGCCACCACAGCCCCAGAGGUAAUGAUUGUGACCUGAAACACAGAAGAUCUUCCACCCACCUGCAGUACCCUCCAUCUCCCCACUCCUAAUAACAACCACUCCACACAAGAUGGCUAGGAACAACCCAGAAAAAAAUGGACAAGACCAUGUAGAUCAUAUUAAUUAGUUUGAGGCUCUGAGAUGAACGAGGUUGUGUUUUUCUCCAAUUUAGAGCCCAGGAGAAUUCAGGAUUUCAAAUCGUAGGACAGAGUUAUAAAGGACCCCAGAGAGAAUUUAAUCCCUUCAGCUGAAAAUAGACCUUGAAGUCCAUGAAAAAGUGAUUGCCUACUUUUCAGCAAAGCAAAUUUAGAGUAAACUGAGAUUUAGAAACCAUCUCUUGACCCCAUUGUGUGUGUGUGAGUGUGCGCUGUACUGCGAAUUGAACCCAGGGGUACUUAAUACUGAGAUAUGCUCUCAGCACUUUUUUUAAAAGACAGGAUCUCACUAAAUUGUCCAGGCUGGCCUCAAACUUCUGGUCAUCUUGCCUAAGCCCCUUGAGUGGCUGGGAUUACAGGCCAUGAUACCCAACUCAAGUCAAAUGCUUUUAAAGGUUUGAGUUGCCCAGAGGAGCUGCGGGGAAGACCUUUGAUGGUGGGGAAUCUUUGUCCUUGAAAAGGCUUGGCUAGUUUGGCCUGUACUUUCAUGCCCACCCCAUGGAAAGGUUAACAAGAGAACAAGAAACCCUAAGCAAACCGCCUGGUCAUACGGGCUGCGUCUGGGUGCCAUCAGCGCUGACCAUGGUGACUGUAUGUGUGCCAGAUGUGGCCAGGUCAUCGUUGUGGCUGGGGAUGGUGAGGGUGGUGCUGCCGUGCUGGGUUACCACACUGAUGGCACUCCCCAGGGCCUGCAGGUCUUCUGGGGACAGGCUGACCUGCCAAUAGGAGGGGAGAAGAUGAGCUGGAACACCAGAAAAGGGGUGUCUGAAAACCCCUCAGGAGGGUGUCUGCUCUCCCAGAUAAGCAAGCAAAACAGGGCCAAGACAGCAGAGAGCUACGCUAAAAUUGACUAACCACUUCUGUGACCACCACUUUGCCUUCAAGCCCUGCUAUUGCAUCAGGGUCUUCACCAAAUUUCAUCCCUGACACCUCUAGAAGGCCUAGGUGUACUGGGCAGAGAGGGUGUGGACAAGGGCCAGGUUAUACUGCUGGCUGGUAACACUGGUGGGACUUCCAGGCUUCCGGAACCCUAUACCAACGUGCCUCUUGAUAAGGACAUUCAAAUGUCUCAGUUGGACACCUAUCAGCUUCCAAGAGGAAAGCUACUAUUUUCCAGAAGCUGAGACUAGGCUGGAAGCAAGAGGCUGGGCUACACGAUUUGGUCCCCUCAGCUUUAGCUCUCUGAAGUCCACAGAGCUAAAAUAGAAAUCUGCAUGGAAGUGGGGUUGUCAGAACUUCAGAGCUCCCCAGAGUUCCCGGAGAGAAUGAAGUGGUCAUUUUGGCCUGCCCCAGCCCUGUACCUGCUGGGCACCAUCCUGAGUGAUGAGAGCCACCUGGGGAGCCCCAUCCUCCUCAGUCACCAUGGCCACUUGAGCUGGGAUGUCAUCACCCUCUUCCUUCACUUCUGACAGGCGCCCUCCAUCCUAAACUGUGCUCUGGGAGGCUCCAAAAGCCCACACUGGUCUAUUCUAUGUUGCCUGGGCAGGGAAGAGGGCGUAGAAAAGCCCACUUUGUCCUCUCCUGUAGCAGCUGGAAGCAUUACAAAAAUGAUCACACUCUGGUCUUUUCAGGAGAUCCUAGAACUCUGGAAGUCAUAGUGAGGAGAAGACUAAAGGGAAACUGCCACAAAUACUCCAAAGCUCUGCGGUCCAGCCAGGGAAAGAUCACUCCAAUCUGGAAAAUUCACAGAUCUCAGAUCUCUGUGUUCCUGUCUUCCAACAGGCAGCACCACAGUUUCAGCAGAGGAUGCUCAGAAUGACUGGUAUUUGAAGGGAAAGAGCCUUUUUUUCCUCCUUUUUUCAGUAUUUGAGAUCAAGCCCAGGGCCUUGCUUAUGCUAGGCAAAUUCUCUGCCUCUGAGCUGUAUCUCCAGCCCUGAGCCAGGAGUCUAUUUUUCAACUGAGUUACUGUGUGGGCCUCAGGUUCCAAGAAUCCCACCUGCUCUGUUGCAUAUGCCCUGGUCAUUGCCCUGCCAUGCUUAUUUUCCCAAUGACUAAAUAGUUGCAGAGAAGAAAUAAAUACAAGAGUAUCUGACUUCAGUGGAUAAAACAAAAACAAAAAACUAAUAAAAGACACUGGCAGGGGCUUUCCUAAAAAGUACAGAGGACUAUUACAGCAGCCAAAGAGAAGCUGGGCCUAACUUCCCAUCACACAAUGCUACUUUUUUUUUUUACAGCAGCCUUCUCUCUUCAGAGACAGGCAUAAAUGUAAUCAACCGUAGCAGACCCAGCCCAUGCCCUGGACAGGGACAUGUGAGAUGAUCUGGGGUAACUUGGGUAGAGGGGCAAAGACAGUAUUGCCCAGGUCAUGUUCAAGCACAGGGCUGCUCCUGUCCUCUGGAGAGGUGAAGUUCUGGUAGGGCCAAGAGGUAGUGGACAGGUGAAGCCCCACGGUUGUGAGUGAGGGACAGUGUCAGGAUCUGCGUGCUCACCUUGCUUGCAUACUGCUCCAGGGCUACCACUGUGUCUGCGCUAAAGCCCUCAUCAUCUUCUGCUGCCAGAUCUUCUAAGCCCACCUCUGUCUGCACGGCCAGGAUGGUGCUGUCUGAUGGCACAGCCACAGGAUGGUGAAUGUAGGCAGUGGAGCCAUCUUCCAGCUGCACAGCUUCCAGGGCACUGGGAUCAUAGCCCUCUGCAAGGAACACACGAUUAGCCCCGAAGCCACACAAGAGGAGAAGACAGAGCUGGGAACCUGGCUUUAACUUAAUGAAAGGGGAGAAACUUCCUUUAUUAUUCCGCCCAAGCCCGGCAAAGUGGGGAUUUCCAGCCUAACAGAAACUGCUGAGAUUGAACUAAAUGGAGAACAAAGGAAACCCAGGAGGGACCCAAAUGUGGACACAACAUCUUUGUUUGUAUGUGGUGCUGAGGAUCG